rnacentral:lncRNA from 1 species
CUGCAAACCCAUCCCCAAGGCUGGUCCCUCCCUCCCUCCUCCCCCGCCCCCCCCACGCCUCGCCCCUUCCGCCCCCCUCCCCCCUCCCCUCCCUCCCCUCCCCCCCUCGGACACCAGAUGGAACUUGUUUGAUUUCUAAGCGAGAGAGAAAAUUGGCCACAUGCGAGAGGAGGAGAACGAUGCUGAGGCCGCCUCGCUUCUUUUUGGGGCAACGUACGGAGAAUCCACCUGCAAAGGACUGUGAGCCCAAGAAUUUUUCCGAUGCCCACCAGAGGCAAAAGUCGAGUCAAGACAAGCUCAACACCUCCUUGCAUCCACGCNGUUUUCUUGGCAGCCACACAGAAGUGGUUUGUCUCCUCCUUCUGUGGAGGUGCUAGGGAUGGAACAAUGGACUUUCCACAUUCAAAGCAGAUGCUCUUGAGCUGACCUCAAUGCCUGAUGUACCACGGAGACAUCUAUGCAGUUUUCUUUGCAACCAUGNAGAAGUGGUUUGCCAUGACCUUCUUCCACCGGGAUGAGAGGUGUCAUCUGAGGUACCUUUGAUCCAUCUUCCUUUCAAGGUGAUCCUCUUCCCCAACUGUUAUGAUCUCUUNAAGACACAGAGGCAGUCUGGUCAAGUUCAGCUCGUGACUAACCCCAUACCCAGAUGGACACAGUUUUCUUGGCAAAGAAACAGAAGUGGUUGGCCAUUUCUUUCUUCCAGCUGGGGACUGUACUUGGAGAGGUCUGCGUGCGAAGCCGAUGCUUCCUUGCUCAAGAAAUCCCUCAAGAAAUCAGAUCCGAAUGUUGACUUUUCUUUCUCGAUGGUGUGAGAUAAUUCAAUAAAAGACAGGCUCCCCAUAAAGUGGAAAAAUCC